UGAGUAAUGUCUGGGAAACUGCCUGAUGGAGGGGGAUAACUACUGGAAACGGUAGCUAAUACCGCAUAACGUCGCAAGACCAAAGUGGGGGACCUUCGGGCCUCAUGCCAUCAGAUGUGCCCAGAUGGGAUUAGCUAGUAGGUGGGGUAACGGCUCACCUAGGCGACGAUCCCUAGCUGGUCUGAGAGGAUGACCAGCCACACUGGAACUGAGACACGGUCCAGACUCCUACGGGAGGCAGCAGUGGGGAAUAUUGCACAAUGGGCGCAAGCCUGAUGCAGCCAUGCCGCGUGUGUGAAGAAGGCCUUCGGGUUGUAAAGCACUUUCAGCGGGGAGGAAGGCGGUGAGGUUAAUAACCUCAUCGAUUGACGUUACCCGCAGAAGAAGCACCGGCUAACUCCGUGCCAGCAGCCGCGGUAAUACGGAGGGUGCAAGCGUUAAUCGGAAUUACUGGGCGUAAAGCGCACGCAGGCGGUCUGUCAAGUCGGAUGUGAAAUCCCCGGGCUCAACCUGGGAACUGCAUUCGAAACUGGCAGGCUAGAGUCUUGUAGAGGGGGGUAGAAUUCCAGGUGUAGCGGUGAAAUGCGUAGAGAUCUGGAGGAAUACCGGUGGCGAAGGCGGCCCCCUGGACAAAGACUGACGCUCAGGUGCGAAAGCGUGGGGAGCAAACAGGAUUAGAUACCCUGGUAGUCCACGCCGUAAACGAUGUCGAUUUGGAGGUUGUGCCCUUGAGGCGUGGCUUCCGGAGCUAACGCGUUAAAUCGACCGCCUGGGGAGUACGGCCGCAAGGUUAAAACUCAAAUGAAUUGACGGGGGCCCGCACAAGCGGUGGAGCAUGUGGUUUAAUUCGAUGCAACGCGAAGAACCUUACCUGGUCUUGACAUCCACAGAACUUUCCAGAGAUGGAUUGGUGCCUUCGGGAACUGUGAGACAGGUGCUGCAUGGCUGUCGUCAGCUCGUGUUGUGAAAUGUUGGGUUAAGUCCCGCAACGAGCGCAACCCUUAUCCUUUGUUGCCAGCGGUCCGGCCGGGAACUCAAAGGAGACUGCCAGUGAUAAACUGGAGGAAGGUGGGGAUGACGUCAAGUCAUCAUGGCCCUUACGACCAGGGCUACACACGUGCUACAAUGGCAUAUACAAAGAGAAGCGACCUCGCGAGAGCAAGCGGACCUCAUAAAGUAUGUCGUAGUCCGGAUUGGAGUCUGCAACUCGACUCCAUGAAGUCGGAAUCGCUAGUAAUCGUAGAUCAGAAUGCUACGGUGAAUACGUUCCCGGGCCUUGUACACACCGCCCGUCACACCAUGGGAGUGGGUUGCAAAAGAAGUAGGUAGCUUAACCUUCGGGAGGGCGCUUACCACUUUGUGAUUCAUGACUGGGGUGAAGUCGUAACAAGGUAACCGUAGGGGAACCUGCGGUUGGAUCACCUCCUUACCUUAAAGAA
rnacentral:rRNA from 1 species